rnacentral:rRNA from 1 species
AGCGAACGCUGGCGGCAGGCCUAACACAUGCAAGUCGAACGGACCCUUCGGGGUUAGUGGCGGACGGGUGAGUAACACGUGGGAACGUGCCUUUAGGUUCGGAAUAGCUCCUGGAAACGGGUGGUAAUGCCGAAUGUGCCCUUCGGGGGAAAGAUUUAUCGCCUUUAGAGCGGCCCACGUCUGAUUAGCUAGUUGGUGAGGUAACGGCUCACCAAGGCGACGAUCAGUAGCUGGUCUGAGAGGAUGACCAGCCACACUGGGACUGAGACACGGCCCAGACUCCUACGGGAGGCAGCAGUGGGGAAUCUUGCGCAAUGGGCGAAAGCCUGACGCAGCCAUGCCGCGUGAAUGAUGAAGGUCUUAGGAUUGUAAAAUUCUUUCACCGGGGACGAUAAUGACGGUACCCGGAGAAGAAGCCCCGGCUAACUUCGUG